GUAAAACCACAAAAGAAGAAGAAGGAAAAAAAAACACACGAAAAAAACCCACCCUUCUGCUUUACAAGGUGAAGUUCCUACUUUGAGCAGCCCGGCGUAGGAUCACACCACAUUCUUGUCCCUUGAAGACUAUGAACAAUUCCCAACCAGUGGGCCCAAGCAAUUCCAUGAUGAGGCGGAGUGGCUGCGUUUCCGCUGUGGUCAGCAUGCCUUCCUUCCUGCCCCUGUCCCUCGCCUUGUGACAUCGAGGAUAAGAACAGACCUCUCUGGUGUUCUUGAUAGCUCUAUUUAGAGCUUAAGAAUAAAUUCUGCUCACAUUUGAGCGGCAAGAGUCUCAGGGUGGCUCACUUACUUUCACAAGUCGGAGCACAAAUGCCUUCCCUCGCCCAGAACCUGUUUACACCAGUGCUCCACACCUCCACUCGCUCAAGUGCUAGCUGCGUGGAACUGAAGGAGGCCUCUGAGCACCCAAAGGACUCACAGCUCACAACAGUGACUACCUCCAGGGCCAGAGCUGAGAGACCAGACUGCCCCAUACCACCUUUCUAAAGAAAACUGAGAUACAAAGCAGUGUUUUCUUGAACUGAUCUGAAGGAAGGGAACUAUAGCCAAGUCCUUUCUGUUCAGAGAAGAACAAAUGUACCUAAGCCUUCUAGAACAAGCUCCAGGCUGUGAAACAUACGGCCCACCCUUACGGCUUAAGAACUGCCAUUCAAGUGUCGGAAGGCUCAUGGCAAUCUCCAAAAACACAAACCAGCUUACGUUACUGUUACGUAAAAAAAUGUUUAUUUUAGAAGUCACAUCUUUAAAAAAUAACAUAGGUUGUUCUGACCAGAUAUAAACUCAUCAUUCAACUGCCAGGGGUGUUGUGCACAAUUACCAAGCUGUGAACACCAAGUCUGUGCAAUGUUCUUGACAUCUACAUGAGCUAAAAAACGUGAACGUGGCUUUUAAAAGGCAGGGGAGAGGAAGGGACAAGAGGGAGGGGAGGAAACUACUUUGGAAACAGAGAAUUUUGAUCUUGUAAAUGUUAGUAUUGAAACCACAGGCACUGAGACUCGCCCGGGGACUGUAUGAAGUGGCAUUAUCUUAAUUCACAAGUGCUGGACAGCAUCCUGGCUUGUGCUGGGAGUGCAGGCAGGAGCAGAAGUGGCGAGCCUCUGCUCGGUAGUGUUGUCACAGCAGGAAAGCAAGAGGGAAGUCAUAGGAAGGAGCAGGGAGCCUGUGGGCAGAGCAGGGCAGAGCAGCUGCCCUUGGCCCUAGCCGGUAGCUUUCUUAUAAUCUUAUGGGUAGCACCCCCAAGUGGCCACGCUCCAAAGCUGGAGAAUCAGAACACAAAAUAAACGUUUUAAGUUCACACUUACUGUGGAUAUAAAAAUACAGCUCUUCAGGAUUGUGACCCCAAACCCAGUGACCCCUGCCUACCCAACCCCCACCCGAGUGGUGAUGCUGGAGCAGAAUGUUUAUGCCAGAGUCCCCGUAACACAGCAGUGACCUAGUGUGGCCUAGUCACGACUCUAUCAGUGAGCUCAUUGUUCCCAGGUACUGCCCAGGUCCCCAGGGAUUCUUCUUCAGGAGGCUCACAGGGCUGGUUCAUCUCCGUGCAGCAAGACAGAGACCCCAUCAGCUUUCCAGACACUUCAAGAGAGAAAUGCAUCAGAUGGCACACGGUAGUAACCCCCAAGAGCGUGCUCCCCUGUGUACCCCAAUUAGACGCUUCUGUCAGGCUGGGGGCAUUAGUAGGCUCUCGUGGCUUAGACUGGACACAUUUUUGAUUACGUAUCCCAUCAAACCAUUCCCAUCCAUUCUGUUUGUUUUUAGAGACAAGGACUCACUGUGUAGUUCUGGCUUCCCUGGAAUUCACCAUGUAGACCAGACUAGGAUCUCACAGAGACCCACUUGCCUCUGCAUCCCGAGAGCAGGAUUAAAGGCAGGCCUAGCCCAGGCUGGUCUCAAACUUGCUAUUUAGCCAAGGCAGGCCCUAUGUUCCUGAUCAUCCUACUUUACUGGGCUUAUGGGCCGGUUACUGUUCAGAGAGGCAAGCCUUGCUGGUACCAGGAGGAUGCUGCAGGAAAUGGCAGACAGGGCGAUAGAAACCUUUAGGUUACUGAAGUGAAGAAGAAGGUACAGUGAGGUUUUGGAUCUGAGCUUUAUUACCAGGGUGACGUCACCUCAGAAUGGGAAUGGGACCCUGCAAGGUGGUUCCACAAGGCACCAAACUGAAGUCCUCAGAGCUGCAGACCUCCUCAUGUGUUGAAACACAGCUGGAAAGGAAAUACAAAGAGGGCAGGGCAGG